UUGGAGGGCAAGUCUGGUGCCAGCAGCCGCGGUAAUUCCAGCUCCAAUAGCGUAUAUUAAAGUUGUUGCAGUUAAAAGGCUCGUAGUUGAAUUUCGGGGUUAGUAGGCUGGUCAUGCCUCUGGUAUGUACCGGUCUCACUGAUUCCUCCUUCCUGAUGAACCGUAAUGCCAUUAAUUUGGUGUUGCGGGGCAUUUGGACUGUUACUUUGAAAAAAUUAGAGUGUUUAAAGCAAGCUAACGCUUGAAUACAUUAGCAUGGAAUAAUGAAAUAGGACGUUCGAUCCUAUUUUGUUGGUUUCUAGGAUUGACGUAAUGAUUAAUAGGGAUAGUUGGGGGCAUUAGUAUUCAAUUGUCAGAGGUGAAAUUCUUGGAUUUAUUGAAGACUAACUACUGCGAAAGCAUUUGCCAAGGAUGUUUUCAUUAAUCAAGAACGAAAGUUAGGGGAUCGAAGACGAUCAGAUACCGUCGUAGUCUUAACCAUAAACUAUGCCGACUAGGGAUCGGAUGAUGUUAAUUUUUUAAUGACUCAUUCGGCGCCUUACGGGAAAC
rnacentral:rRNA from 1 species